rnacentral:rRNA from 1 species
UACGUAGGUGGCAAGCGUUGUCCGGAUUUAUUGGGUUUAAAGGGUGCGUAGGCGGUUCCAUAAGUCAGUGGUGAAGUACGGCAGCUCAACUGUCGAGGUGCCAUUGAUACUGCGGAACUUGAGUACUGAUGAGGUAGGCGGAAUUGACGGUGUAGCGGUGAAAUGCUUAGAUAUCGUCAAGAACACCGAUAGCGAAGGCAGCUUACCAAGCAGUAACUGACGCUGAGGCACGAAAGUGCGGGGAUCAAACAGG